UAGGGAAUCUUCCGCAAUGGACGCAAGUCUGACGGAGCAACGCCGCGUGAGUGAAGAAGGAUUUCGGUUCGUAAAACUCUGUUGUUAGAGAAGAACAGCGCAUAGAGUAACUGUUAUGCGUGUGACGGUAUCUAACCAGAAAGCCACGGCUAACUACGUGCCAGCAGCCGCGGUAAUACGUAGGUGGCAAGCGUUGUCCGGAUUUAUUGGGCGUAAAGCGAGCGCAGGCGGUCAAUUAAGUCUGAUGUGAAAGCCCACGGCUCAACCGUGGAGGGUCAUUGGAAACUGGAAAACUUGAGUGCAGAAGAGGAAAGUGGAAUUCCAUGUGUAGCGGUGAAAUGCGCAGAGAUAUGGAGGAACACCAGUGGCGAAAGCGGCUCUCUGGUCUGUAACUGACGCUGAGGCUCGAAAGCGUGGGGAGCGAACAGG
rnacentral:rRNA from 1 species